rnacentral:rRNA from 1 species
AUUGAACGCUGGCGGCAUGCCUUACACAUGCAAGUCGAACGGUAGAGUAGCAAUACUUGAGAGUGGCGAACGGGUGAGUAAUAUAUCGGAACGUGCCCAGUCGUGGGGGGAUAACGUAGCGAAAGCUACGCUAAUACCGCAUACGAUCUAUGGAUGAAAGCGGGGGAUCGCAAGACCUCGCGCGAUUGGAGCGGCCGAUAUCAGAUUAGGUAGUUGGUGAGGUAAAGGCUCACCAAGCCGACGAUCUGUAGCUGGUCUGAGAGGACGACCAGCCACACUGGGACUGAGACACGGCCCAGACUCCUACGGGAGGCAGCAGUGGGGAAUUUUGGACAAUGGGCGCAAGCCUGAUCCAGCAAUGCCGCGUGCAGGAUGAAGGCCUUCGGUU